rnacentral:rRNA from 1 species
GGCGAACGGGUGAGUAACACGUGGGUUACCUGCCCUUGAGUGGGGAAUAACUCCGGGAAACUGGAGCUAAUACCGCAUAUAACCUUCGGGUGAAAGGCUUCGGCCGCUCAAGGAUGGGCCCGCGGUCGAUUAGCUAGUUGGUGGGGUAAAGGCCUACCAAGGCAACGAUCGAUAGCCGGCCUGAGAGGGCACACGGCCACACUGGCACUGAGACACGGGCCAGACUCCUACGGGAG